CCUACGGGAGGCAGCAGUGGGGGAUCUUGCACAAUGGGGGAAACCCUGAUGCAGCGACGCCGCGUGGGCGAAGAAGUAUUUCGGUAUGUAAAGCCCUAUCAGCAGGGAAGAAGAAAUGACGGUACCUGUGUAAGAAGCACCGGCUAAAUACGUGCAAGCAGCCGCGGUAAUACGUAGGGUGCAAGCGUUAUCCGGAUUUACUGGGAGUAAAGGGAGCGCAGGCGGCUCGGCAAGUCUGACGUGAAAGCCCGCGGCCCAACCGUGGGACUGCAUUGGGAACUACCGGGCUGGAGUGCCGGAGAGGUAGGCGGAAUUCCAAGUGUAGCGGUGAAAUGCGUAGAGAUAAGGAGGAACACCAGUGGCGAAGGCGACCUUCUGGACGGUGACUGACGCUGAGGUGCGAAAGCGUGGGGAGCAAACAGGAUUAGAUACCCUAGUAGUC
rnacentral:rRNA from 1 species